rnacentral:rRNA from 1 species
GAUCAUGGCUCAGGAUAAACGCUGGCGGCGUGCGUAACACAUGCAAGUCGAACGAGAAUGUACUGACGGAUCCUUAGGGUGAAGAUAGUACAGGACAGUGGCGGAUGGGUGAGUAACGCGUAAGAAACCUGCCUUUCACACCGGGAUAGCAGCUGGAAACGGCUAUUAAUACCGGAUGACACUUUUUCCCGCAUGAGGAAGAGGUUAAAGAAUUCGGUGAAAGAUGGUCUUGCGUCUGAUUAG